rnacentral:rRNA from 1 species
AAGAGCGUAUGGUGGAUGCCUUGGCACUAAGAGCCGAUGAAAGACGUGAUAAGCUGCGAAAAGCUUCGGGGAGGAGCAAAUAUCCUUUGAUCCGGAGAUCUCUGAAUGGGGAAACCCACUUGAGCAAACCUCAAGUAUCCUUAAGCCAAUACAUAACUUAAGGAAGGGAACCCGGUGAACUGAAACAUCUAAGUAGCCGGAGGAAGAGAAAACAACAUGUGAUUCUGUGAGUAGCGGCGAGCGAAAACGGAAGAGCCCAAACCGGGAUGCGUGCAUCCCGGGGUUCGGACCGCAUAAUUGAUUCAACAAAUUUAGCAGAACGGUUUUGGGAAAGCCGGCCAGAGAGGGUGAAAGCCCCGUAAGCGAAAGAUGAGUUGACAUGGCGGUAUCCAGAGUAGGUCGAGACACGUGGAACCUUGACUGAACAUGCGGGGACCACCCCGUAAGGCUAAAUACUCCUUAGUGACCGAUAGCGCAUAGUACUGUGAAGGAACGGUGAAAAGGACCCCGGGAGGGGAGUGAAACAGAACCUGAAACCAUAUGUUUACAAGCUGUGGAAGAGCUUUAUAUGCUCAACCGCGUACUUUUUGUAGAACGGUCCGGCGAGUUACGCUGGCUGGCGAGGUUAAGGACUAAAGGUCCGGAGCCGAAGGGAAACCAAGUCUGAAUAGGGCGCAUAGUCAGUCGGAGUAGACCCGAAACCGGGUGAUCUAUCCAUGUCCAGGUUGAAGUUGCCGUAAAAGGCAAUGGAGGACCGAACCCACAUCCGUUGAAAAGGGUGGGGAUGAGGUGUGGAUAGGGGAGAAAUUCCAAUCGAACCCGGAGAUAGCUGGUUCUCCUCGAAAUAGCUUUAGGGCUAGCCUCAUACAAGUCUUGCGGAGGUAGAGCACUGAAUUUCCUAGGGGGCGUCAAAGCUUACCGAAGAAUAUCAAACUCCGAAUGCCGUGUAGAUGUUGUAUGGGAGUCAGACUGUACGAGAUAAGUUGGACAGUCAAAAGGGAAAGAGCCCAGACCUGCAGCUAAGGCCCCAAAAUGUGUGUUAAGUGGAAAAGGAUGUGGGAUUUCAAAGACAACUAGGAUGUUGGCUUAGAAGCAGCCAUACAUUCAAAGAGUGCGUAAUAGCUCACUAGUCGAGAGGUCCUGCGCCGAAAAUGUCCGGGGCUGAAACACACUACCGAAGCUCAGGAAUUAACGUAGUUAAUUGGUAGAGGAGCAUUCUUAAAGGGAAGAAGCAGUACCGGAAGGAGCUGUGGACUUUUAAGAAGAGAGAAUGCCGGAAUGAGUAGCGAGAGGAAGGUGAGAAUCCUUCCGGCCGAAUAUCUAAGGUUUCCAGAGUAAAGCUGAUCUGCUCUGGGUAAGUCGGGGCCUAAGGCCAGGUCGAAAGACGUAACCGAUGGACAACAGGUUGAAAUUCCUGUACCUUAAGUAAACAGAACUGUGGGGACACGUGUGGAGAGCACAAGCCGGAAAUGGAAAAGCCGGUGCAAGCGAGGUAGGAGUACAGUAGGCAAAUCCGCUGUACAAUCCGAAGACGUGAUGCGGACCGAAUUAAGAGUAGGGAAGUGUGUGAGCCAUGCGUCAAGAAAAGCCGCUAUUGUUUUACUUAAGCCCGUACCGUAAACCGACACAGGUGGAUGAGGAGAGAAUCCUAAGGCCGACGGGAGAAGCAUUGUUAAGGAACUCGGCAAAAUGACUCCGUAACUUCGGGAGAAGGAGUGCCUGGGAGACCAGGCCGCAGAGAAUUGGCCCAAGCAACUGUUUAGCAAAAACACAGGUCUAUGCAAAACCGAAAGGUGAAGUAUAUGGGCUGACGCCUGCCCGGUGCUGGAAGGUUAAGGGGAGAGGUUAGCGCAAGCGAAGCUUUGAACUUAAGCCCCAGUAAACGGCGGCCGUAACUAUAACGGUCCUAAGGUAGCGAAAUUCCUUGUCGGGUAAGUUCCGACCCGCACGAAAGGCGUAAUGAUUUGGGCACUGUCUCAACAAUGCACCCGGUGAAAUUGAAAUACCAGUGAAGAUGCUGGUUACCUGCGCCAGGACGGAAAGACCCCAUGGAGCUUUACUCCAGCUUGAUACUGGGAUUCG